rnacentral:rRNA from 1 species
UACGGGGGGGGCAAGCGUUGUUCGGAAUUACUGGGCGUAAAGGGCUCGUAGGCGGCCAACUAAGUCGGAUGUGAAAUCCCCAGGCUUAACCUGGGAACUGCAUCCGAUACUGGAUGGCUUGAAUCCGGGAGAGGGAUGCAGAAUUCCAGGUGUAGCGGUGAAAUGCGUAGAUAUCUGGAGGAAUACCGGUGGCGAAGGCGGCAUCCUGGACCGGCAUUGACGCUGAUGAGCGAAA